AGUCUCAAUGGAGCUUUCAUGACAACUGCAAGCCACACAUUUCCUCUGGCCCCACCUCAGUGUCAGUUCACACUCUGAGACCAUCAGACAUCAAAGCAAUUGCUGCUAUAGGAAGUUUGGGAAAUACUGGAGAUUCUAGGACAGAGCAGGCUGACCCCAUCAAAAGUACAGAGACGGAUCUUAUUAAAGCAAGCAUGAAAACACUAAAAGGUAAGUGUUAAACUCUUGCAAAGGAGGUCUUCACUGCCUCCCUCAUACAAUAACUAAGGCUCCACAGAACUCAUUUUCCUGUUGAUGGCCCCCUCCACAGCCAUCAAGGCUGUGAUCAAGGAAUUUUGUGAUCAAGGAAUUUUGGAGAAGCA